AGUGAACGCUGGCGGUAGGCCUAACACAUGCAAGUCGAACGGCAGCACAGUAAGAGCUUGCUCUUACGGGUGGCGAGUGGCGGACGGGUGAGGAAUACAUCGGAAUCUACUUUUUCGUGGGGGAUAACGUAGGGAAACUUACGCUAAUACCGCAUACGACCUACGGGUGAGAGCAGGGGAUCUUCGGACCUUGCGCGAUUGAAUGAGCCGAUGUCGGAUUAGCUAGUUGGCGGGGUAAAGGCGCACCAAGGCGACGAUCCGUAGCUGGUCUGCGAGGAUGAUCAGCCACACUGGAACUGAGACACGGUCCAGACUCCUACGGGAGGCAGCAGUGGGGAAUAUUGGACAAUGGGCGCAAGCCUGAUCCAGCCAUACCGCGUGGGUGAAGAAGGCCUUCGGGUUGUAAAGCCCUUUUGUUGGGAAAGAAAAGCAGCAGGUUAAUACCCCGCUGUUCUGACGGUACCCAAAGAAUAAGCACCGGCUAACUUCGUG
rnacentral:rRNA from 1 species